UACGUAGGGCGCAAGCGUUGUCCGGAAUUAUUGGGCGUAAAGAGCUCGUAGGCGGUUUGUCGCGUCUGCUGUGAAAACCUAAGGCUCAACCUUGGGCUUGCAGUGGGUACGGGCAGACUAGAGUGCGGUAGGGGUGACUGGAAUUCCUGGUGUAGCGGUGGAAUGCGCAGAUAUCAGGAGGAACACCGGUGGCGAAGGCGGGACUCUGGGCCGAUACUGACGCUGAGGAGCGAAAGCGUGGGGAGCGAACAGG
rnacentral:rRNA from 1 species